GAUUCAUUUGAACGAAUUCACUGGUAAAAUGGAGCGACAACGGUUCCUGCACCAGCCCGGUGCACCGUCUUAACACAUUCAGGGAGGAGACAGGCAACAAAAGUGGAUGAAGGCAGGCCGAGUGUCAUCCAUCAGAGAGAAAGAGUUUCAGGUCUUUACCUUGCUGAACGACCAGCUAUGGCCACGUCUUAACCACCUGGCAGAGGCGAACCAGUUUUGGCGAUGAAACGUCUGGGAACAUAUCAGAAUUCAUCAGGCUUCACAAGAACCGUUAGACCAUCAGAGACC